rnacentral:rRNA from 1 species
CCUACGGGUGGCAGCAGUGAGGAAUAUUGGUCAAUGGCCGAGAGGCUGAACCAGCCAAGUCGCGUGAGGGAUGAAGGUUCUAUGGAUCGUAAACCUCUUUUAUAAGGGAAUAAAGUGCGGGACGUGUCCCGUUUUGUAUGUACCUUAUGAAUAAGGAUCGGCUAACUCCGUGCCAGCAGCCGCGGUAAUACGGAGGAUCCGAGCGUUAUCCGGAUUUAUUGGGUUUAAAGGGUGCGUAGGCGGCCUUUUAAGUCAGCGGUGAAAGUCUGUGGCUCAACCAUAGAAUUGCCGUUGAAACUGGGAGACUUGAGUAUGUUUGAGGCAGGCGGAAUGCGUGGUGUAGCGGUGAAAUGCUUAGAUAUCACGCAGAACCCCGAUUGCGAAGGCAGCCUGCCAAGCCAUGACUGACGCUGAUGCACGAAAGCGUGGGUAUCAAACAGGAUUAGAUACCCUGGUAGUC